AGCGAGAUCUUCGGGUCUAGCGGCGGACGGGUGAGUAACGCGUGGGAAUGUGCCCUUCUCUACGGAAUAGCCUCGGGAAACUGGGAGUAAUACCGUAUACGCCCUUUGGGGGAAAGAUUUAUCGGAGAAGGAUCAGCCCGCGUUGGAUUAGGUAGUUGGUGGGGUAAUGGCCUACCAAGCCUACGAUCCAUAGCUGGUUUGAGAGGAUGAUCAGCCACACUGGGACUGAGACACGGCCCAGACUCCUACGGGAGGCAGCAGUGGGGAAUCUUAGACAAUGGGGGCAACCCUGAUCUAGCCAUGCCGCGUGAGUGAUGAAGGCCUUAGGGUUGUAAAGCUCUUUCAGCUGGGAAGAUAAUGACGGUACCAGCAGAAGAAGCCCCGGCUAACUCCGUGCCAGCAGCCGCGGUAAUACGGAGGGGGCUAGCGUUGUUCGGAAUUACUGGGCGUAAAGCGCACGUAGGCGGACCAGAAAGUUGGGGGUGAAAUCCCGGGGCUCAACCUCGGAACUGCCUUCAAAACUAUUGGUCUGGAGUUCGAGAGAGGUGAGUGGAAUUCCGAGUGUAGAGGUGAAAUUCGUAGAUAUUCGGAGGAACACCA
rnacentral:rRNA from 1 species